rnacentral:rRNA from 1 species
AACGAACGCUGGCGGCGCGCCUAAUACAUGCAAGUCGAGCGAGAAGACGUAGCAAUACGUUUGUAAAGCGGCGAACGGGUGAGGAAUACAUGGGUAACCUACCCUCGAGUGGGGAAUAACUAGCCGAAAGGUUAGCUAAUACCGCGUACGCUCCUCGGACUUCGGUUCAGGGAGGAAAGCGAUACCGUGGGUAUCGCGCUCUUGGAUGGGCUCAUGUCCUAUCAGCUUGUUGGUGAGGUAACGGCUCACCAAGGCUUCGACGGGUAGCUGGUCUGAGAGGACGAUCAGCCACACUGGCACUGCGACACGGGCAGACUCCUACGGGAGGCAGCAGUAAGGAAUAUUGCGCAAUGGGCGAAAGCCUGACGCAGCGACGCCGCGGUGGGGGAUGGAAGGUC